ACCACUCUAACAACAGACAGGUACCAGAACCACCCUAACAACAGACAGGUACCAGAACCACUCUAACAGACAGGUACCAGAACCACCCUAACAACAGAAAGGUACCAGAACCACCCUAACAACAGAAAGGUACCAGAACCACCCUAACAACAGAAAGGUACCAGAACCACCCUAACAACAGAAAGGUACCAGCAGAACCACCCUAACAACAGACAGGUACCAGAACCACCCUAACAACAGAAAGGUACCAGCAGAACCACUCUAACAACAGACAGGUACCAGAACCACCCUAACAACAGAAAGGUACCAUCAGAACCACACUAACAACAGACAGGUACCAGAACCACUCUAACAACAGACAGGUACCACCAGAACCACACUAACAACAGACAGGUACCAGCAGAACCACCCUAACAACAAAAGGUACCAGAACAACCCUAACAACAGAUAGGUACCAGAACCACCCUAACAACAGAAAGGUACCAGCAGAACCACCCUAACAACAGACAGGUACCAGAACCACCCUAACAACAGACAGGUACCAUCAGAACCACCCUAACAACAGAAAGGUACCAGAACCACUCUAACAACAGACAGGUACCAUCAGAACCACCCUAACAACAGAGAGGUACCAUCAGAACCACCCUAUCAACAGACAGGCACCAACAGAACCACCCUAACAACAGAAAGGUACCAGAACCACCCUAACAACAGAUAGGUACCAGAACCACCCUAACAACAGACAGGUACCAGCAGAACCACACUAACAACAGACAGGUACCAGAACCACCCUAACAACAGACAGGUACCAGCAGAACCACCCUAACAACAGACAGGUACCAGAACCACCCUAACAACAGAAAGGUACCAUCAGAACCACACUAACAACAGACAGGUACCAGAACCACUCUAACAACAGACAGGUACCAUCAGAACCACCCUAACAACAGGAAAGUACCAGAACCACCCUAACAACAGAAAGGUACCAGAACCACCCUAACAACAGAAAGGUACCAUCAGAACCACUCUAACAACAGACAGGUACCAGAACCACCCUAACAACAGAUAGGUACCAGAACCACCCUAACAACAGAAAGGUACCAGAACCACCCUAACAACAGAAAGGUACCAGCAGAACCACCCUAACAACAGACAGGUACCAGAACCACCCUAACAACAGAAAGGUACCAGCAGAACCACUCUAACAACAGACAGGUACCAGAACCACCCUAACAAGAGAAAGGUACCAUCAGAACCACACUAACAACAGACAGGUACCAUAACCACUCUAACAACAGACAGGUACCACCAGAACCACACUAACAACAGACAGGUACCAGCAGAACCACCCUAACAACAGAAAGGUACCAGAACCACCCUAACAACAGAUAGGUACCAGAACCACCCUAACAACAGACAGGUACCAGAACCACCAUAACAACAGAAAGGUAACAGAACCACCCUAACAACAGACAGGUACCAUCAGAACCACUCUAACAACAGACAGGUACCAUCAGAACCACCCUAACAACAGGAAGGUACCAGAACCACCCUAACAACACAAAGGUACCAUCAGAACCACUCUAACAACAGACAGGUACCAUCAGAACCACCCUAACAACAGACAGGUACCAUCAGAACCACUCUAACAACAGACAGGUACCAUCAGAACCACCCUAACAACAGGAAGGUACCAUAACCACCCUAACAACACAAAGGUACCAUCAGAACCACCCUAACAACAGGAAGGUACCAGAACCACCCUAACAACAGACAGGUACCAUCAGAACCACCCUAACAACAGACAGGUACCAUCAGAACCACUCUAACAACAGACAGGUACCAGAACCACCCUAACAACAGACAGGUACCAGAACCACUCUAACAACAGACAGGUACCAUCAGAACCACCCUAACAACAGAAAGGUACCAGAACCACCCUAACAACAGACAGGUACCAUCAGAACCACCCUAACAACAGACAGGUACCAGCAGAACCACCCUAACAACAGACAGGUACCAGAACCACUCUAACAACAGACAGGUACCAUCAGAACCUCCCUAACAACAGACAGGUACCAGCAGAACCACCCUAACAACAGAAAGGUACCAGAACCACUCUAACAACAGACAGGUACCAGAACCACCCUAACAACAGACAGUUACCAUCAGAACCACCCUAACAACAGAAAGGUACCAGAACCACCCUAACAACAGACAGUUACCAUCAGAACCACCCUAACAACAGAAAGGUACCAGAACCACCCUAACAACAGACAGGUACCAGAACCACUCUAACAACAGACCAGAACCUCCCUAACAACAGAAAGGUACCAUCAGAACCUCCCUAACAACAGAUAUAGUUUAACAUGUCUCUGUC